GGGGCUUUGGCGCAGUUGGUAGCGCGUUUCCAUGGCAUGGAAAAGGUCAGGGGUUCGAAUCCCCUAAGCUCCAC
rnacentral:tRNA from 1 species